rnacentral:tRNA from 1 species
UCCCCGGUAGCUCAGCUGGUAGAGCGCCGCACUGUUAAUGCGGUGGCCCGUGGUUCGAUCCCACGUCGGGGAGCCA